rnacentral:lncRNA from 10 species
CUUACAGCUACCUCCAAGAGUUUGGAGCACAGUCACGAAGCCAAAGGGCUUGAAAUGAGAGGAUGGAUUUCAGAUAAAGACUAGGAGCGGUACAUCCCACUAGAGCCCAAAGGAGAUCCCUGGAAUCAAAGACAGCAGCGAGGGACCCUACUACUGUACCGAUUCCCAGUACAUCAAAGCCAUCACUUAGGCUGGUGCACGGUACCUCCAAAAAGCAAGCAAACAAACGCAGGAAGAACAAGAGUCAGUGUCUGUCUGUCUCUCUCUCUCUCUCUCCCCCCUCUUCUCUGUCUCUUCCCCCCCCUUUCAAAUCCUAGCCUCAGCGUCACUGCUACUGCAAUAGAUUUUUUAAAAAUGACAAGUUGUAUUUAUGUAAGUUCUAAAUAUGAACUAAUACCAUUGAAAUUACAAUGUCUGGAAUAAAAUAAAAUGCAAUCAGCACUUUAAGUAAUCUGCAAAUGUAAAAACAACAUUUAUGUUUUUGAAGGCAUUAUUAGUAAACCCUGUAACACCAG